rnacentral:rRNA from 1 species
UACGGAGGAUGCAAGCGUUAUCCGGAUUCAUUGGGUUUAAAGGGUGCGCAGGCGGAGAUAUAAGUCAGUGGUGAAAAACUGCCGCUCAACGGUAGUCUUGCCAUUGAUACUGUUUCUCUUGAGUAUGGAUGAGGUAGGCGGAAUGUGCAGUGCAGCGGUGAAAUGCAUAGAUAUUGCACGGAACACCAAUUGCGAAGGCAGCUUACUGGGCCAUUACUGACGCUCAGGCACGAAAGCGUGGGGAU